rnacentral:ribozyme from 14 species
AUGACAGAUUUGAACAUGAUGGAAAUAAUUGACAAGUAUUAAAAUUGUGACAACAGUGUGAAGCUUUCUUGUUUUUUGUUUUUUUGUUUUUUUUUGUUUUUUUUAAUUCAAAUUGAUGAGA